UCCCUCUUACAGUUGAUUCCACUGAGAGUAAGGUUUAAGUAUUACCUAUUAGCACUCUCUUCUUCUCCUUCUUAUAAUAGUAUUCUUCCCCUCCCCCUCCCAUACAACUUUUUGUAGUAUAAAUUAUCCUAUUUUUCUUAUUCCUUCAAGUUUUUCUUGGUGCCAUCUUCCAUUCCCCCCUUUCUUUUUUUAUGUAUCAUCUUAAAUAACUUAGUACCACAACCACCACCUAUAAAUAAUUCUUCUAACUAAGAUGACAGUGAAUACAGUUUUUGAAAGUUACAAAUAUCAUUUUUCCAUAUAGGAGUAUAAACAAUUGACCUUACUAAAGCCCUUAAAAGAAAAAAAAAUUCCCCUCUCUCUCUUGUUCAGGGGUUAUUGCCAGAGCUUGGGUAUGAUGAUGGUCUUUAGAGGAAGGAGGUCAAUGAUGGUCUUGGGGAAAAGUUUCUGCUCAGCCUUAAUGGACCUGGAUUUACUAGUCAUUCUUCCUAAUGGGUGUGAAGAAAGUCCAUCACCUCCCCUUCCACCUUAGGAAUGCUCUCUAAUCCUUCCCUCUGUCUCAACUAGCCCAUACCUCAAGGAGCAGUAGACCCUCUCUAGGGCAGCUCAGUCUACCAGGGCUACUCACACACUGGCAUAACCUAAGGCCACCCACUAUCUGGGGCACCCUGAAGAUGAGGGAAGUGGGGUGGGGUCAUAUACAGGAAGGUCUGAUUGGUUUCCCACAUCUGAUGUCACAGGUAUGGAAAUGCCAGGGAUUGGCCAACAGAGACCUCUAGGAGCAAGGGCAAUGAAGUCUGCAGCAUGGAAGUCUAGCUGCUAGGGAUUACAUAAAGGAGGCAGGGAAGGAGGAAGGGGUAUGUUUAGAUCAGAUUCAGCCCAUUGCAAGUGAUCUGAUGGAUCUCAAAGAUACUGCCCACAUCCUAAAACAGAGGAAUGAUGACCAGGAUGAUUGAGAAAGAGCUGGAAAGACCUACUUUGAACUGAUGGAGUGUGAAAUAAGCAGAACCACGAAAACAUUGUACACACUAACAGUAAUAUUGUGGAAUGAUUAAAUAUGAUAGACUUAGCUACUAACAGCAAUAAGAUGAUCCAGAAAAAUUCCUAUGGAUUUAUCAAAAAGAAAAAAAUCUCCAGAGAAAGAACUGUUGGAGUAGAAUGCAGUACUAGAUCCAGAAUACUGCCAUCUGCUGUUCCUGUCUAAAAUGUACAAAGACAUCAGGAAUUCAAGCUUGGUGGACCCUGCCAAUCAUGAGAACAGAGCUAUAUAAAUGGUGAUGCAUCUAUACCAUUUUACAAAUUUGUUGUUGUCCUUUCAGUUUUAUCAAUAAAUACUCUCUGACUAAUAUUGCUUAGUUGAAUACUUCAUCAAACCCUCCAUAAAACUCAUUUUCCUCUUCCUCUGUUUUUAGGUGUUUUUCACAAGGUGAUUAUUAUUCAUAUUCUUCUAUUACCUUUGUAAUGUUUUUAAAAAUGAGCUUUUACAUUAAGCUGACAGCUUCUUUGCCCAUUGGCAACUAUAGACCCUUUCUAUGCCCUCUAAAAUUUCUGUGAAAAUGGUUUUUGACUCAGUUCUGUAUGGGGAAAAUUGAGACCUUGAAAUUUCCCUGUAGUAAAGUGCUUUUUGCAUAUACACACUGAAAUUCUACAAAUUUUCCUUUUGAUACACUAUAUUAGAAUGGAGAAAGGAAGGUCAUAGCAGUAAAGAUGGUUUCCUAACUUUCCCUUUUGUAUGUGAAAACUGCUAUCAGAUAUGUGUUUAUAAUGUUUUACCAGUUUUCCUUUGCUGGGAUUUGGGGAAAUGACUGGUAGGAAGGUAAAAUAUUCUCUGUUCCUUGCACGCCCAGAGCUACACUUUGAAAUCAUGGAGCACUGAAAGUACUAUUACUGGUUAAGGGGUUAAAGGAGGAAAGAAGGAAAAGGAGAAAGAGACCGAUACCCACACAAGUAUCAUGGAACUGUUACUAUUGACAAAAAGUUGCCCUCAUGGCCUAGGCUGGGCUCUGAGAAACUUUACCAGAAACUUUUCCUAGUAGCCUAUUCCUCUGUGCAUGAGUUCAAAGCAGCUACAUGUCAAAACAAGGA